rnacentral:rRNA from 1 species
GACGAACGCUGGCGGCGUGCUUAACACAUGCAAGUCGAACGGAAAGGCCCUGCUUUUGUGGGGUGCUCGAGUGGCGAACGGGUGAGUAACACGUGAGUAACGUGCCCUUGACUUUGGGAUAACUUCAGGAAAGUGGGGCUAAUACCGGAUAGGAGCUCCUGCUGCAUGGUGGGGGUUGGCAAGUUUGGGCGGUUGGGGAUGGACUCGCGGCGUAUCAGCUUGUUGGUGGGGUAGUGGCUUACCAAGGCUUUGACGCGUAGCCGGGCUGGGAGGGUGACCGGCCCCAUUGGGCUUGAGCUGCGGCCCAGACUCCUAUGGGAGGCAGCGGUGGGGUAUAGUGCCCAAUGGGCGGAAGCCUGAUGCAGCAACGCCGCGUGCGGGAUGACGUCCUUCGGGUUGUAUACCGCUUUCGCCUGUGACGAAGCGUGUGUGACGGUAAUGGGUAAAGAAGCACCGGCUAACUACGUG